rnacentral:rRNA from 1 species
GACGAACGCUGGCGGCGUGCUUAACACAUGCAAGUCGAACGGUAAGGCCCUUCGGGGUACACGAGUGGCGAACGGGUGAGUAACACGUGGGUGAUCUGCCCUGCACUUCGGGAUAAGCCUGGGAAACUGGGUCUAAUACCGGAUAGGACCACUGCCUGCAUGGGUGGUGGUGGAAAGCUUUUGCGGUGUGGGAUGGGCCCGCGGCCUAUCAGCUUGUUGGGGGGGUGAGGGCCUACCAAGGCGCCGACGGGUAGCCGGCCUGAGAGGGUGACCGGCCACCCUGGGACUGAGAUACGGCCCAGACUCCUACGGGAGGCAGCAGUGGUGAAUAUUGCACAAUGGGCGCAAGCCUGAUGCGGCGACGCCGCGGGAGGGAUGACGGCCUUCGGGUUGUAAACCUCUUUCAGCACCGACGAAGCGCAAGUGACGGUAGGUGCAGAAGAAGGACCGGCCAACUACGUGCCAGCAGCCGCCGUAA